UACGAGGUGGGCAAGCGUUGUUCGGAAUUACUGGGCGUAAAGCGCACGUAGGCGGCUUUGCAAGUUAGAGGUGAAAGCCCAGGGCUUAACCCUGGAAUUGCCUUUAAAACUGCAUCGCUAGAAUUGUGGAGAGGUAAGUGGAAUUCCGAGUGUAGAGGUGAAAUUCGUAGAUAUUCGGAAGAACACCAGUGGCGAAGGCGACUUACUGGACACAUAUUGACGCUGAGGUGCGAAAGCGUGGGGAGCAAACAGG
rnacentral:rRNA from 1 species